rnacentral:rRNA from 1 species
AAGCAGCGGAGCGUGUGGUUUAAUUCGAAGCAACGCGAAGAACCUUACCAGGGCUUGACAUCCUCUGAAGCGCAUUGAAAGAUGCGCGCCCUUCGGGGCAGAGAGACAGGUGGUGCAUGGUUGUCGUCAGCUCGUGUCGUGAGAUGUUGGGUUAAGUCCCGCAACGAGCGCAACCCUUAUUGUUAGUUGCCAGCAUGAAAGAUGGGAACUCUAACGAGACUGCCGGGGAUAACUCGGAGGAAGGUGGGGACGACGUCAAAUCAUCAUGCCCCUUAUGUCCUGGGCUACACACGUGCUACAAUGGCCGGUACAGAGGGCAGCAAAGGAGUAAUCCGGAGCGAAUCCCAAAAAGCCGGUCUCAGUUCGGAUUGUGGGCUGCAACCCGCCCACAUGAAGCCGGAGUUGCUAGUAAUCGCGAAUCAGCAUGUCGCGGUGAAUGCGUUCCCGGGCCUU